rnacentral:rRNA from 1 species
UGCCAGCCGCCGCGGUAAUACGGAGGGGGGUAGCGUUGUUCGGAAUUACUGGGCGUAAAGCGCGCGUAGGCGGAUUAGUCAGUCAGAGGUGAAAUCCCAGGGCUCAACCCUGGAACUGCCUUUGAUACUGCUAGUCUUGAGUUCGAGAGAGGUGAGUGGAAUUCCGAGUGUAGAGGUGAAAUUCGUAGAUAUUCGGAGGAACACCAGUGGCGAAGGCGGCUCACUGGCUCGAUACUGACGCUGAGGUGCGAAAGCGUGGGGAGCAAACAGGAUUAGAUA